CCGGCACGGGUGAGUAACACGUAUGCAAUCCACCUGUAACAGGGGAGUAACCCGGAGAAAUCCGACUAAUACCCAUAAUAUGGGCGCUCCGCAUGGAGAGCCCAUUAAAGAGAGCAAUUUUGGUUUACAGACGAGCAUGCGCUCCAUUAGCCAGUUGGCGGGGUAACGGCCCACCAAAGCGACGAUGGAUAGGGGUUCUGAGAGGAAGGUCCCCCACAUUGGAACUGAGACACGGUCCAA
rnacentral:rRNA from 1 species